AAAAGGCGGCGUAAGCUGUCGCUAAAGGAUGGACCCGCGGUGCAUUAGCUAGUUGGUAAGGUAACGGCUUACCAAGGCGACGAUGCAUAGCCGAGUUGAGAGACUGAUCGGCCACAUUGGGACUGAGACACGGCCCAAACUCCUACGGGAGGCAGCAGUAGGGAAUCUUCCACAAUGGGCGAAAGCCCGAUGGAGCAACGCCGCGUGAGUGAAGAAGGUUUUCGGAUCGUAAAGCUCUGUUGUUGGUGAAGAAGGAUAGAGGUAGUAACUGGCCCCUAUUUGACGGUAAUCAACCAGAAAGUCACGGCUAACUACGUGCCAGCAGCCGCGGUAAUACGUAGGUGGCAAGCGUUGUCCGGAUUUAUUGGGCGUAAAGCGAGCGCAGGCGGAAAGAUAAGUCUGAUGUGAAAGCCCCCGGCUUAACCGAGGAAUUGCAUCGGAAACUGUGUUUCUUGAGUGCAGAAGAGGAGAGUGGAACUCCAUGUGUAGCGGUGGAAUGCGUAGAUAUAUGGAAGAACACCAGUGGCGAAGGCGGCUCUCUGGUCUGUAACUGACGCUGAGGCUCGAAAGCAUGGGUAGCGAACAGGAUUAGAUACCCUGGUAGUCCAUGCCGUAAACGAUGAGUGCUAAGUGUUGGGAGGUUUCCGCCUCUCA
rnacentral:rRNA from 1 species